rnacentral:rRNA from 1 species
GACGUAGGGUGCAAGCGUUGUCCGGAAUUAUUGGGCGUAAAGAGCUCGUAGGUGGCCUGUCGCGUCGGCUGUGAAAACUCGGGGCUCAACUCCGAGCUUGCAGUCGAUACGGGCAGGCUAGAGUUCGGCAGGGGAGACUGGAAUUCCUGGUGUAGCGGUGAAAUGCGCAGAUAUCAGGAGGAACACCGGUGGCGAAGGCGGGUCUCUGGGCCGAUACUGACACUGAGGAGCGAAAGCGUGGGGAGCGAACAGG